GUCUCCAGUAGAUUUAUCAUUCCAACUCAUUUAAGUACUAUCUUCUUAUGAUUACAGGAAGAGGAACGUAAAGAAUGGGAAAUGGAAGAACUAUGGGAAAAAGGUAGAAGAAUGAUGUAUCCGUCAACACCUGAUCAAGAAUCUGAUGAAGAAUCUGAUUAGUGACAAAUAAAUGCCGUGCUUACCCGAUUGAAUUGAUAUUCAAUUUACAAACCAGUCCUGUAAAAAUGACUUAUUUUUAUCUCACUAGAUUAAAACAUCAUAUUUUACACUUUUAUUGUAUAUUUUUGUUUGUUUGAAUAUUGCUGUAAAGGAACGCAUUAUUCUUUUGAAACUCACAAGUUUAGGGCAGAUGUAUACAUGAAAGACAAUUGACCUGGAAACCUAACAAGAAAAAAUGAGAAAUGUUCAAACUCCCAAGCUGGGACAUAUUUUUUGGAAGAAUAGAGAGAGCAGAAUGAUAAGGACACAAUUUUCUUUACAGACACAUUUUGUUAAUACAGUAUCAAGUUACUUUUCUACCAAAAAUGGAUGAAUCAGCCUUUUAAUGUCCAUUUUAAAUAGUGAAAAGUCAUGAUUGAAAAACGUUUUGGUAAAUCCCCCAGAUACUGCUUAAGCCCGCUAUUUUGUAUAGAAAAAAAGAAAAACUGUAUCUGGAAUAUUAAUAAUCAAAAAUCUAGAUGAAGGUAAAAACAAUUACUGGUACGAAUAAAAUAAUGCUUGUAUGUUUAUCAGAUCUGCGUAUUCUGUGAUAUAAAUUAAUGAAACUAUAAUCAAAGAACAAACAGCCCUUUAAACCUACGAUCAACUCUGGAUUAAGAAGUAUUUUUGAUUCAAAGAAUUCAUUAAUCUGUUGUUUAGAGAACACGAAUUUAAAACUUCUUCCAAAUUUAUAGAAUAAGAAUACCCUAACGUGAAUUAUAAUAAGGUGAGGUUUUUUCAACUUGAAAUUACAAUUUUUUCCAACAUUCUUCAUAUUGGCACUUAUUCCCUUUUUAUCGUAUCAAUUUUGUUUGUUCUUGUCACAAUUUAUUGAUUUUAAAUGAAUAUGCUAUAUUUUGUAAAAGAA